AAAUGUCUUAGAGUUCGUUACGAAUCUCACGAUCGUUGUUUAAAUUCCUUCCCCUCUCUCUUCCUGUACUUCCCCCCUCUCCCAUCGACCCUCAUCAACCAUGCGCGAGCUUUAUUAUUUCCUUCCUACGUGAAACACGCCCGGCACGCUUCCCCACCACACAUUUGUCUCCGCAGCUACCGUUAUAUUAUGCGUUUAUAAUGCAGUACAGAGUGCUGCAGUUCGCUCAAGAUGUUCCUGCGUUGCGCGUUUAUCACGAAAAUAAACCUUAUCUUGCUUGACUUAAGUAUAUACGCUUACGAUUACCAGCAAACCUAAUGCUCAAGGAAACAUUUCAAAAUUUCACAUUCGUAGUCAACGAAAAUGUUGAAUAUAUCUACUUACUUGCCGAGAAUUUAUUGAAAUAUUUUGUGGUAGUAAUUCAGACUAAAUGACACGGUUACCAAAGGAGGAUUUUUAAUUUAAAAAUUUUUCAUUUUUAUGAAACUUUUUCAGAAUAAUUCUUCGUCUUUCGUCAUGUAAUUAAUUAAUCGUGUAGAGGAUAAAAAAUAAAAAUUAUAUCAAAAUUAAUUACUAACUAAAAUAAAAAUAUUACCGAACAUUUGUAAUUCCAAAUAAUGUAUGUGUAAGUGUGUGUGUAUAAGUAUGAUAGAUCGUAUACUUAUACGUUAUUGAUUUUUUCGAAAAAAAUGGAUGGAAUUAAAGCAAUACAAAUAAAAGGAACAACGUUUAACAACACAUUAUAAUUAUAUACAUAUAGUGCUGUGUAUAUAUAUAUAUAUAUAUAUAUAUAUAUAUAUAUAUAUGUGUGUAUAUGUAUAUUCUAAUUUAUUCUAAUAAGACGAAGUUAUGUGUGGAUUUAUAUUUUUGCUUUUAUGAUCGCACGAUGUAAAAAAAGAACGAAGUAUGAGUCAUCGAUAUUUAUAUUAUUAUUGUAACGUGAAGACAAAGAGAAUAACUUCUUGAACUUUCAAGAAGCGUCACACAUAUAUACAAUCAUGCACAACGCAAACUAUACGUACAGACUCAUUAAUAUAUAUUUAUAAUUAUUCAUAGAUGUCUAUAGUCUUACAGGAAUUUAUGUUAAUAUCAUUUCAGACAAUUUAUUUUACUUGCUUUAAUCUUAUUUCGUUUUUUAACAAUAUGUUUUAACGAAAAAAUAAAUAUUUUAUUAUAAAUCAUCGGAUUUUAUAAAUUAAUUGAAUUAAUCAAUUUACUUUAUUUAAUAUUUAGUUUAGAAUGAUCAAACUAUACAUUUGAUUUCAAUAUACGCUAGUUCGAAAUAUGCGAAUUUAUAUUCUGAACUGAAAAAUUUUGUGAUAAAAUCGUUUCAACUUUAUGUAUUUUUAAUUCUCAAUUUUUGCACAAUGUACGUUAAAUUGUUAGAUCAUUUUACUGUUUUACAUUAUACAUUGGCCGUGAAAAUUGAUUUUUCAAAACUCGUUCGUGGAUAUUUAAGUAAAGAAUAUAUACAUAUUUCAUGAAAAUAAUUCAAUGAACGGUUGGAUCGUACUCCCUUUCAUACUCUCUUCCUCUCUUUUUUUUUUGUUUCGUUUAUCUCGUCAUUCACCGUUCUAUUUACCGUUUCAUCGAAUUCGUUUAUCAAUUCUUUUUUUCUCCUUUUAUUUCGUCGUGCAUUUCAUUUUCCUCUCCCCUCUUGUAUAGGCAUUGUCUCGUUAAUUUAUGUAUUCUACUCUUUAUUAACCUGCGUUACAAACUCUACGCUCCGCGAGAAAGAACGUGGCAAUCAAGAGAACGACGGGAUCGUUUAUUUAUUUGUUCUCUCCCUUUUCUAACACGUACACAGAGACAUACAAUCGUAAACAACAUACUAGGACGUUGGAAUCAAGUACAGUAGAAGAAUGCGUCUGGAAUCGUGUUCCGCACGAAUUCUUGUUUCGCGCGAUUUACACCCGCGUACGCUUGAUUGAUCGUCUCUUAUUUAACGUUUGCUUCUUGUUAGGGACUAGAUCACGUAGAUGUAACGUAGAUGUAACUUACACAAUUGCAAUAAAAAAAAGAGGUCUACUUGUUUUAACUAAUCAAUGGGAACGAAAUUUUCAAUACUACCUUAACGAUCUAUAAUGUAAUAUUGUUCGUAUAUGAAAAAGAUAAAAAAAAAAAAAAAAAAAACAAAAAAAAAGAAUGUAUAUAAUGU